rnacentral:lncRNA from 1 species
AUGCCCAUGAACUUGGCCGGGAGCGCCUUCCCGAAUGCCCGCACCGGGCCGGAGCCCCUCCCGGUCCUGGAUAUCCGAGGCCCCCACCCACUCUGCGCCCCCAAGAACAAAGCUCGCCGCCGCCCUGUCCCGGGGCCUCCUGCGGUCAGGUGUCAGGCAGCCUGGGCACCGCUGCUCCUACGACCCUCGUCACGGGUCCCCGCCGAAGGGGGUAUCUCGGCCCGCCCUCCCCGCGGCGGCCCCCGCUCGGGACUUGUGGGCCUGUCCCGUGGGUGGGGGAGUAGCUGGUCCUCCCGGGGGCCCCUUCACGGGGAAGGCCAGACGCAGAGAUGCCGCCGGGGCCUCCCCGCCCCCCUUCCCCAGCCGCCGCAACAAUGGAGGGCCGGGCUGCAGAGGCCGGGGCGCCCGCCCCCCGGCCGCGAGCAGGUGCGCGAAGGGGUUGCGGCCGGGUCCCGCCGGCGCCGCGUCUUGCCGAACCCCCGCCCCGCGGGCGGCCCCCGCCCCGCCCGCGCCCCCGGCCCGCCGGGCGCCCGAGCUCACCUCGUUUUGGGCCGCCGCCGUGUUUCCCCUCUUCUGUCCAAAACCUGCCCGGAAAAGCCCCCCGAGCCGAGGCGCCUGCACGGGAAAUUGCAUUUUGGCGGCUCCCGGGCUGGCCAGGGGCUCCCCCGGCCCCGGGCAGGGGGAGGGGGCCGCGGGGCUCCGGCGCCGGCUCGAACCCGCGGCCGCCGCCUCCCGCCCGCCCGCCUGUCUGUCUCGGUGACGUGCCCGCGCUCCCCGCCGCCGCCGCCGCCGCCCCCCUCCCUCCUCCCCGCGCCGUGCCGGGCGGUGGGUCCAGCCGCGGCCUUAUGCGCCCCUAGGCCUCCUGCCAGGCUCAGGGGAACGAAAGCAGGGAUGCCCAUAGGGCUCCAGGACGCAGCUCCGGGCCCCCGCACAGGGGACACGGGGACACGGGGGCUCGAGCGGGCGCACGCUGGAACCCAGAUGCACGCAGACCUCAAAGGCGCACGGGGAGCACACGCGCACAAAGGCAUGCGAACCACAAACACAGGGAAGGGUGUGCAGGGGUCUUCCAGACACAAACCCAAGGGAGGGAAUAGUAAGACAGGCAGAGGCACCAGCCACACCAGGAUGUCCUUAAAACCCAGCUAUAAAGGC